UACAGAGGUCCCGAGCGUUGUUCGGAUUCACUGGGCGUAAAGGGUGCGUAGGUGGUUGUGCAAGUCUGAUGUGAAAUCUCCGGGCUUAACCCGGAAAUGGCAUUGGAAACUGCAUGGCUAGAGGGUUGGAGGGGGGACUGGAAUACUUGGUGUAGCAGUGAAAUGCGUAGAUAUCAAGUGGAACACCAGUGGCGAAGGCGAGUCCCUGGACAACACCUGACACUGAGGCACGAAAGCUAGGGGAGCAAACGGG
rnacentral:rRNA from 1 species